CAGCCAAACCACGGUGAGUUUGCCGACGUACAAGGUAUCAAUCUCUUCGUCUUGCUGAAUACUACAACUUUCCUUUUUGUUUCACCCAAUUUUGUUGAGUAUUGAAGAAGUUAUAUCCAUUUGAAUCUUACCCAGUUUCCAGCGAGUCUGACGGCUUUCGAGGCGUUUUCCGGCCAAUCCACGACGAGUUAGAUAUCGUGCAAGGUACCAUUCUCUUCGUCUCUUCGAGGGCUACAAUUUCUGUUUUAAAUCACUCGAUUUAGUUGAGUAUUGACAAAGUUAUAAACGUUUAAAGUUUGUCUAGAUUUCCGGCCGAAAUCCAACCUUCUCUUUCAAUUGGGACCAGCAACCCAUGUUCUGAGCUCAGAUUGGGCUUUCAAGCCCAGAUCCUUUUGAACCAGGCCCUUUGGGCCGUGCCAAACCUAGGGCCUUAGGCCCGUUAUCCUUUUAAACCCAACCAAAAUCCGUUAAUCUAUUUAUAUUUAUUUAUUUAGUUUUAUAAAAACCCAAAAGAACUGGAUCGGGCCUUUAAGCCCAAGCCCCUUUUUGUGCAGCAUAGGGCCUUCGGCCCAUUACCCCAAAACCCAUCAGAUAUGGCCUUUGGGCCUUGGACCCCUUUUAUUUAUUUUUGUAUUUUAUUUGUUUGAAACUAAACCCUUUAACAUUUUAAAACCCUUAACCCAAUCCUUUAACCUAUUAACCCAAAACCCUUUUUAAAUUAGAAAACCCUUAACCCAUUAACCCAUUAUCCUAAGCCCAACCUACCUAAACCUAAACCCUAAACCCCUAAGUCCAGACCCUAAACCCUAGCCGGCCCAAAACCCUUUAUGGGGAAUAUUCCGCUAGGGAGUAUUCUAUUGGCGUUUACAAAAUUUAACUGGGACCCUUCUUAGGGUAAUUCGACGUUCUAAAUUCGUUUCCAACGUCCGUUUUCCCAAAUUCAAUUGUUAUAAUAGAGUUUUAUUAAUUGGACCAUUUAUGUGCUUAGGGGCAAUAUUUGUGGCGUUUCUAUCUUCGCUAGUUGCGUGGCUUUUCGGCAGCUAAGUACUGUGAGUGGAUCCCUUCUAAAAAUGCAUGUUUUAAUAGUAUAAAUACAUACAUGAAAAGCAUGAUUUGAUGAUUAAGUUUUAUGAAACGUUUUGUGAGAUAACAUGCUUACUAAGGCUAGUUUGAAUUAUUACUAUUUUUCAUAUAACUCAUGUUCUUAUAGAAUAUUCGAUGGAUGACGAUAUGAUAUUUAGAACAUGUUUCGAACACUUCUUUAUAGUAUAGAUGGUGGAUGACUAUAUACUAUGAAGUUGUUUUUCAAUAUAUAUAUAUAUAUAUAUAUAUGUUCAAUGGUUUUGUACUUACCUAGUGGUCAUUUCCGCUACAGGACGUAGGGAUAGAUUCUAGUCCGUCCCGGGCGACGGUUUGGUGUUGGCAUAGGGCUUGGAGUGUGUUUCCUCUGGUUAUUUAGCACAGGGAUGGGGAGCUGACAUGGGGCCUGAAGUGUAUUUUCCUCUGACUAUUUGCUCAGAGACGGGGAGCUGGCAUGGGACCUGGGGGUUAUCGGACAAUUCACUAGUGAUUAUUAUAUAUAAAAGUUAUGAUUUGAGAUAUUGCACGGCAUGCUAGGUUUCGGAAAACCUAUGUUUAUCAUGAUAUAUAUGUGUUUUCAUAAAACCUGGGGGUUAAUAUGUUGAUAACUGUUUUAUUAUAUAUAUAUCAAUUUGGUCCACUCAUGUUUGUUUUGCGCCCCCUUUAGGACUUAGAAUCGAGGCAUACAAUCCCAGCAUCCAGAAACUUCCACAUCGGCAUCUUCGAGUCAUCUCGGUGUAGGACCCAUCCUUUGUUUCAUUAAAUUUUAUAUUAUUUCUUUCGGUGUUCUAGUUAGUCGUAUGCUCUGAACACGUUCCUUAAAUGCAUAUUCUUGAUUCUUUUAUAUUUAUAAGUUUUAUCUAUUCCUUAUUCUCAGCAUUUGCACUUAACAAAUGGCUUUCGUCACCCUCGGGUGUCGGCCAGCACGUGCCUAUCCUGGUAUUCGGGGAAUAUCAAGAUCGGGGCAUGUCAGAUUGGUAUCAAAGCGAGGUUUGUUCAGAGCAUACUUAGGAUUCUCUUCUAUUCUCGUAAAGUGUUGGUUUUGACAUCAUUUGGAUGUCAGGACUUCUAGAUUUGGUGCCAUUCGGUGCAGUUGUGCAAACCUUUCUCUGUUUGAAUGGUCACCUUCCGGUUGAAAUACAAUAAUUCGUGUCGGUAUUGUGCCUCAUCGGUGACGUGUUUGAAUUGUUGGAUGACUUUCAGCUUUGGAUCGAUACCCUACGACGUGCAUUCCCUAGGAAUGACGGGCAUGGUCAGUGGAAGCGACUUGUUUUAGAAAUCUCAGUUUGAGGAAGUCUGGUCAAGACCAGUUGUAAAUCCAAAAUGGCGAUGCCACUCUGCCACAUGCGUUUCCUAGGAAUUGCGAGAAGAGCCGGCUUUGCAUCGAAAUCUUGGGAAAUGGAAAAAAAUAAAAAAUAAAAUCCUGGUAGUACGAAUUGGUUAAGACCAACUGGAGAUCUGAAGCGAUGAUAUCACUCUGCAACAUGCGUUCCCUAGGAAUGGCAGGCAGAGUUAUAUCUCUUGAAAAUUGCUCGAAACAUUCAAAGUGCGUGCUAAAUAAACGAGUAAGUGCUAGUGGUGACGACGGUUAGUAGGUGGUAGUUGGUGGGAGCAAAUCAAUGUUCUUGGACUCGUUUUCAUUGAGGAUAUUCGUGUGAAUCUUUAGAAUGAAUCUUCAGUGAUUGUUCUAUCGAUAACAUUCUUGCUUAUUCCAACGACGAAGUCAAGUUCACGAACCUUUGACCGUCAGCUUCACAUCAAAUUCUUCGAGUGUUGACUUCGUUUACAUUAAUUUUUUUUCUUGGGAAGCUCCUCAGAAGCAGACGCUAUUCUCACCAAUUUCCAAAUGGAGUUGUGAUUCUUCUUGUUGUUGUAGUUGGACUUGGAUGGUGAAGAUUUAGUCUUGUUUGGAUAAACAAACUCCUUGAAUUUCACCUGGGUCUGGUACUCGGUGGUAAACCUUAGCUCCUUGUUCACGUACCUUUCGGUGGAGGUGAACUUAGCCUCUUGCUUAUAGCUUAACUGACCAGUGCUCUUGUCCACUAAUUGUUCAGCCUUGUAAUUUUCAAUGAAAUGGCUUGAGACUUUACCAUAUUCAUCAUUUUACGAAGAUCGAGCUUUACUCUGAACUUCUCUGGACUCAUUGAGCUUUGGAUUACUCAAGGGCAUCACUUUAAGGUAGCCAAUUGUGUGGCAUGCAUACCCAAGCUGCUUCGUAUCUUUCUUCUUCGUCAUUCUUUUGAUUCAGAGGUUUUAUGUUUAAUUUUUGAACUUUGAAGCAGCUCUCACAAAGUAUUGUGAAUUGUGAAAUGUCUUUGGCAUCGUCAAAUCUUAUUAACAAUUCUUAACUAUUCUUGAGCUUAGACCUAUUUUCUUUUGGCUAAGAAACCAGUCGAUCUUAUUGUGAUGAUUAACCAAAUAAUCAUAGACAGUGACUCCUAUUUCUGCAUCUUCGCCUUCAUUCGCUUAUUUGUUUCUCAAUGUAAACUGGAUCAUGCCAGAACAAUACACCAAGGGUGAAAAAAAAAACGUUUGUUCUCGGCAUGGUUUCUGGUUUAAUCCCGAUAUCUUGUACUCUAGACUUAAUGGACUUGUUUUGACCCUUAAAUUCUUAAGUGUUCUUUCAGCCUUCUCGACAUGGUUUCUCGCUCAAUCAGUGAGAAAUUCACAAUCGAUCGUUUCGACGAAAGUGUGCACCCAGUUCAUGUCGAUUCGAACAGGAACGAUAGGAGCAUAACCUUUUCACAAGCUUACCAGACUUACCAGAAAGAGUUCCAUAUAGGUGUGAAGUUAAGCUGUCUUUUGGUAAGAGAUUGGUGAAGAUUGUAGUGUAAGUGAUCAGUUGAUUGCAUCACUAUCUUCACGCUGAAUUGAAUAGUCACCACUCAUUAUUUUGCUACAAUUCAUAACCAUCAUACCUUACUCUAGUAGACAUUUUCGAUGAUGUGAUGUGUUCGCCUUAACGCAGCUUUCCACUACCUCUCACCAGGAUCCUUCGGUUCGAGAGCACGUAGGCUUGAGGUUUGAGCGGUCUUUUAGUAAGAGUUAGUUGAAGGUUUAGUACGGAAGGUCAGCAUAUUGUAUCACCAUCUUACUAGAAUUCAUAGGCAUCACAUCGGUUAUUUUCCAACGAUAUGUGUUCGUCUCAACGCAUAUUUCCACUGCUUCACUUCUGAACCUUAUUGUUGUGAGUACGUGGUUGUCGAAACACUUCUAGCAGAUUUGUUUGGUACAUUUUGGGAUGGCACUACAGCACAGUCGAGGCGAGAAUUGGAUAAUCUUUACACUUCUCUCGAAAGGUGUGUGCUCUCUUUGGUUGUUAGGAUGAUCAUUUGCGAGUUCUUCUUUCCACCAACUUUGGCCUUGUUUGACUAGAAGUCUGCAACUAAGCAAAAAUGGAGAGGUAGAUUGAGCAUUACAACAGCUCCCUAGAGAUACUGCUUGUUGGGAAAGAUGACUUCUCGUUUUCUGCUUGCUUAACUCGAGCUUUUGGGUCUACUACUAACAUGGUAGCCACUUCUCUUGAAUCCCAAGGUACAUUUUUCAAAAGGGUUCUUUACUGGUGAAACACUAGAGUAGUUGGUCACAUUUGGAAGAACUAAAGAGGAUAGGAUGCUUGGUGUUGGAUAGAGUUUUACGACGACAGUUUCUGUUUUGUUCAGUUUGGGGUAUGGCACUUUUGCGACAUGGUACGAGGGUUUCUACAUGCAACACUAGUUGGCAGGGGAGUAUUGUGAACUGGUAUUCGGAGGAUCAAAUUUACGAUGUAUGAAAUUGUGCACCCUCAGGAAAUUACUGCUUGCUUAUCGAGACAACAAUUGUUGUCGAUAUUGCAGGCUGCAAACCGUUGUAUCGAUAACUUAUUCAUUGGAUUCAUUAAGCAAGUGGACAGGAAGAUCUGUCUUUAACAGUUGUGCAGAAUUGUUAUUCUUGGGACUCUAACCAAAGACUCAUGUUCUCGAAGUGCAUGACGUUUUGUAUGCUUAGGCGAGACUCACUCUCAUUUUCCAGUUUUGGUUUUCCGUAUAAGUAUUUUAACUUCAUUUACAUUAGUUAUUUGUUUUUGGCGUUACAAAUGUUUUGGGGGAAGUAUUUCGGUUUUUAGUUUUAAGUUCAGCACGAGUUUUCGAACUAUAUGUUAGUACAUAUCUAUUUUUGACGCUAUAGUAUUUUGCGUAUUUAUUUUUGACCUUACGUCAAUAUAUGUUUUCGACUUUAUAUCUUAUUAAAGUAUGUUUUCUACUUUUACACUAAUGGGGAAGAAACUAAAAGCUUGGAGGCAUGAUAGAGGAUUUUGCAACCCGCUCGCAACGGUGUGGCAUAUUCUCUUUGAUGCAUCCACUCUGACUUGAUUUCUCUUUAUACAUGUAUUCGUCUUACUAUUUUCGAGUAUUUCAGUUUAGUAAGUGAUUUAAAUUUUGGGGACGAAAUUCUUUUAAGGGGGUUAGAUUGUUACACCCACCCCUAAUUUAAAUUGUAUUUCACUAAGUUUGAGAUUAUCUUGCUUUUAAAAUUGUUUUUGGGUCUUAAUUAGUGUGCCCAAAGGGCCCACCCCUUGAUUUUGUCCCCCGUGACCCCUUCUUCUUUCUUCUCUCCUUCUCUGCACACUCCAUUCUCUCUCUUGAAACCCAUUCAUCUAUCUCCCUCUCUAUCGCCGUGAGCACCCACACACACACACACCCACCACCACAACUACCUAGCUACGACACCACCAUCACCUUUGGAACUUUCUUCUCUCUUUUCCCCGUCUCGGCGAAGCUCCGGGACACCCAAAGAACACCCAAGUCUCCCACGACGCCUCCGACGACUUUCGAGACAAUUGCCAGCUAAACCAAAGUGAGUUGGCCGGCAUGCAAGUAUCAAUCUCUUCGUCUCGCUGAGUACUACAACUUCCCUUUUUGUUUCACCCAAUUUCGUUGAGUAUUGAAGAAGUUAUAUCCAUUUGAAUCUUACCCAGUUUCCAGCGAGUCCGACGGCUUUCGAGGCAUUUUCCGGUCAAAUACAUCGUACAAGGUACCAUUCUUUUCCUCUCUUCGAGGGCUACAAUUUCCAUUUUUGAAUCACUCGAUUUCGUUGAGUAUUGACAAAGUUAUAGACGUUUAAAGUUUGUCUAGAUUUCCGGCCUAAAUCCGGCCUUCUCUUUCAAUUGGGUCCGGCAACCCAUGUUCUGAGCUCAGGCCGGGCUUUCAAGCCCAAAUCCUUUUGAACCAGGCCCUUUGGGCCGUGCCAAACCUAGGGCCUUAGGCCCGUUAUCCUUUUAAACCCAACCAAAAUCCUUUAAUCUAUUUUUAUUUAUUUAUUUAGUUUUAUAAAAACCCAA
rnacentral:lncRNA from 1 species